GACGAACGCUGGCGGCGUGCCUAAUACAUGCAAGUAGAACGCUGAAGCGAGGAGCUUGCUCUUCUUGGAUGAGUUGCGAACGGGUGAGUAACGCGUAGGUAACCUGCCUGGUAGCGGGGGAUAACUAUUGGAAACGAUAGCUAAUACCGCAUAAAAUUGAUUAUUGCAUGAUAAUUAAUUGAAAGAUGCAACUGCAUCACUACCAGAUGGACCUGCGUUGUAUUAGCUAGUUGGUGAGGUAACGGCUCACCAAGGCGACGAUACAUAGCCGACCUGAGAGGGUGAUCGGCCACACUGGGACUGAGACACGGCCCAGACUCCUACGGGAGGCAGCAGUAGGGAAUCUUCGGCAAUGGGGGGAACCCUGACCGAGCAACGCCGCGUGAGUGAAGAAGGGUUUCGGAUCGUAAAGCUCUGUUGUAAGAGAGGAACGGGUGUGAGAGUGGAAAGUUCACACUGUGACGGUAUCUUACCAGAAAGGGACGGCUAACUACGUG
rnacentral:rRNA from 1 species